rnacentral:rRNA from 1 species
UACAGAGGUGGCAAGCGUUGUUCGGAUUUAUUGGGCGUAAAGGGUUCGUAGGCGGUCUGAAAAGUCAGGUGUGAAAUCUCACAGCUUAACUGUGGAACUGCAUUUGAUACUGUCAGACUAGAGGGGGAUAGAGGAAAGUGGAAUUCCGGGUGUAGCGGUGAAAUGCGUAGAGAUCCGGAGGAACACCAGUGGCGAAGGCGGCUUUCUGGGUCCGCCCUGACGCUGAGGCGCGAAAGCGUGGGGAGCGAACGGGGAUUAGAUACCCCAGUAGU